rnacentral:rRNA from 1 species
CAGAACGAACGCUGGCGGCAGGCUUAACACAUGCAAGUUGAACGGGAUUGCUAAGUGCUUGCACGGAGCAAUGAGAGUAGCGCACUGGUGAGUAACACGUGGGAACAUGCCUUUUGGUGGGGGACAACAGAGGGAAACUUCUGCUAAUACCGCAUAAGCCCUAAGGGGGAAAGAUUAAUUGCCGAAAGAUUGGCCCGCGGAAGAUUAGGUAGUUGGUGGGGUAAGGGCCUACCAAGCCGACGAUCUAUAGCUGGUCUGAGAGGACGAACAGCCACAUUGGAACUGAGACACGGUCCAGACUCCUACGGGAGGCAGCAGUGAGGAAUAUUGGGCAAUGGAGGAAACUCUGAACCCCAGCCAUGCCGCGUGAGUGAAGAAGGUUUUCGAAUUGUAAAGCUCUUUCGGAUACGAGGAUGAUGACGGUAGUAUCUAAAGAAGCCCCGGCAAACUUCGUGCCAGCCGCAGC